UACUCCGGGGAUAACAGGCUGAUACCGCCCAAGAGUUCAUAUCGACGGCGGUGUUUGGCACCUCGAUGUCGGCUCAUCACAUCCUGGGGCUGAAGUAGGUCCCAAGGGUAUGGCUGUUCGCCAUUUAAAGUGGUACGCGAGCUGGGUUUAGAACGUCGUGAGACAGUUCGGUCCCUAUCUGCCGUGGGCGCUGGAGAACUGAGGGGGGCUGCUCCUAGUACGAGAGGACCGGAGUGGACGCAUCACUGGUGUUCGGGUUGUCAUGCCAAUGGCACUGCCCGGUAGCUAAAUGCGGAAGAGAUAAGUGCUGAAAGCAUCUAAGCACGAAACUUGCC
rnacentral:rRNA from 1 species